UCUUCAACUAAUUUAUUUCUGUUUUAACACAUUAGUUCUAAAUUUAUUUUUGUCCAACUUUUCAAUUGUUACUUUAGGUUAUAAUCAUCAGAAUUUUAUAUGAUAUAUGUUCCUUAUAUUUUUCUAUGUUUUUUAAUGCUGCUUUGAGGAAUGUGAAAUUCUUGCUAAGUUUGUUAUAAUUGAUGAUGGAUUGCAAUCUAUUGGUAUAGAUCCUAAUGGUAUUGAAUAGAAAGCUGAUAAUUAUACACGGUUAGUAUUUCUUUUCUUAAUUUUUUUCUUUCUAAAAUUUUAAGCUAUGUAUGCUUAUUUGUUUACAUUAGUUGAUCAAAAUCUCAAUUGGGAGGAAGCGGACUACUAUUGACUUAGGGAUUAAAUUCUAUAUAAAUUGAUCAUUAAUGUAAUUAAAUGAGCUGUAAAUGUUAAUGUUAGAUCCAAUGUGUUUUUGGUAGAAACUUACAGCCUUUCUUUAUAAAUGUAUAUACUAGAAGCAGGCUUUAUGCCUUUGCUAUGUGAUUUUUUUUAUUACCUAACUUUGUUAAGAAGAGAAAUAAUUUGAUGUAAAAAUGAUCAUUUAAUUAUUUUCUAUUAUAUGAUUUUUGUUGCAGCCGGGUCUUCAUUCAUGGAGGUCUUAGAUGGGGAAUUGACCUAAGUAAUCAGAAAAUUUUUUUAUCUUGAAUUUUGUAGAAUUAUUCUAUUUGAUCAGGUUAGGUUUUGAACUGCUUUUAGCCAAAGAAUGCUCCACCCUUUUAAAUAAUGAAACUUAUUCUAUAUCAGUGGGGUGCGAGUAACAUAUUGAAAAGCUACGAGAAUACUUGGAGAUUCUAAAAUGGCAGAUCUCUUUUCACCCUCUGGUUGUUAAUCAUCGUACAUUUUAUCAUCAUUAUGUAAUUGGCUAUGAUAUUUUUCUCUGUGUAUUAUGCAGGUAUUUGGAGGAUCAUAGGAAAGCACACUUACUCUUACUUAUAGCCAAGCUCACCCAGACAAGCAUGAUCCUCAGGAGAAUUUUCCUCUUAAGGAAAACAGAGAUUGAUUGAUUUUAUGAAGGUGGUGCUGUUGCAAUAUUCUGUAAUGGUUGAUUGUUUUUGUGUGAUGGUUGUGGUUGAAGCAUGUGAUUUUCAUUUUCAUUAUUAUUUUUGGUGUUGGUGUGUGGCAUUCAAUAGAUAGAUCGGUACCAAAAGGUGGAGAAGUCAAUGACAGAAAUGCCAAUGGAUGAAAACAAGAUCAGUAUCACAACUCAGGGAAGGGUUUUUGCUCAGAUUAUAUUGCUUGCUUCUUCAUUGGAAAGGUGUUCCAAUGAAAUUAUUUUCAAAGCAAUGGGUAGAGCUAUCAACAAAAUUCUAAGGAUUGUGGAGUUGAUCAACGUCUGUUCAUUUUGUAAUUAGCUGAGCUGGGUUAUGUAAUCUUCGUAUAUGAUACUUUGUUUUAUUCUGAUAAGUCCUUUAUGUUUUGUUUUUUAUUUAUAUAUGUUGGAUUUGCUUCUGCAACCGGGGUGAUCAAAUAAUAUAGAGAAAAACACACAAAUUAGAUCCGCUAACAACAUUGGUACUUCGGAGCCUUUAGACGAAGGCCUCCUUCUAUAUGUGCAAAUAUUUUAAAAUUGAGUAAUUAAAGUGUUCAAUAUUCAAUAAUUAUGAAUUCACUGUGAAGGUUUUUUUUUCUUAAAUUAAUUUUGUUUACCA